GGGUGUAGCAGAUAAUGCAUCACUCUCUGUUUUUGAAAGCAUGAAAAACAAAUGAUCACACAGGUUUUGCAACUGGUGAGGGUGGGUCAAACAUGACAUCGAAGGAGAAUGGUAGACUGUUGGCGUAUAAGGCAGGGUUCUUCAUCAUCUCAACCUCCUUCAUUUACCAGCAGACGUCCCGAAAAUGCUCGAUAUGUUCCUGGACUGCACAAAACUCCUGAUGAUCAAUCUUAAUAGAUUCUUACACUAUACAUGUACUAGUAUAUGUACGCAUCAAUCAGAACAAAAAACUGGAGAAGAAAUUCUUGUCUCAGUAGAUUAAUACACUAUACUAGUAUAUACGGUAGUCAAUUAAAACUCUGAGAGAAA